rnacentral:rRNA from 1 species
GGCACCUCCCGGGGUGGCCAGCCUUGCUGAAUUAUUCCACCCGUGUCUUUUGCGUACUUUUGUUUCCUUGGUGGGCUCGCCCACCACAAGGACCAACCCUAAACCUUUUUGCAAUGGCAAUCAGCGUCAGUAACAAUGUAAUAAUUUACAACUUUCAACAACGGAUCUCUUGGUUCUGGCAUCGAUGAAGAACGCAGCGAAAUGCGAUAAGUAGUGUGAAUUGCAGAAUUCAGUGAAUCAUCGAAUCUUUGAACGCACAUUGCGCCCUUUGGUAUUCCAAAGGGCAUGCCUGUUCGAGCGUCAUUUGUACCCUCAAGCUUUGCUUGGUGUUGGGCGUCUUUUUGUCUCCCCUUGCGGGAGACUCGCCUUAAAGUCAUUGGCAGCCGGCCUACUGGUUUCGGAGCGCAGCACAAGUCGCGCUCUCUUCCAGCCCCAAGGUCUAGCAUCCACCAAGCCUUUUUUUUUCAACUUUUGACCUCGGAUCAGGUAGGGAUACCCGCUGAACUUAAGCAUAUCA